rnacentral:tRNA from 1 species
GCCCAGGUGGUGAAAUUGGUAGACACGCUACUUUGAGGGGGUAGUUCGCAAGAGUACGAGUUCGAGUCUCGUCCUGGGCACCA